rnacentral:rRNA from 1 species
AUUGAACGCUGGCGGCAUGCCUAACACAUGCAAGUCGAACGGUAACGCGGAGAGCUUGCUCUCUGGCGACGAGUGGCGGACCGGGUGAGGUAAUACUUAGGAAUCUACCCAGUAGUGGGGGACAACAUUCGGAAACGGAUGCUAAUACCGCAUACGCACUACGGUGGAAAGUGGGGGACCUUCGGGCCUCACGCUAUUGGAUGAGCCUAAGUCGGAUUAGCUUGUUGGUGAGGUAAUGGCUCACCAAGGCGACGAUCCGUAGCUGGUCUGAGAGGACGAUCAGCCACACUGGGACUGAGACACGGCCCAGACUCCUACGGGAGGCAGCAGUGGGGAAUAUUGGACAAUGGGCGCAAGCCUGAUCCAGCAAUGCCGCGUGUGUGAAGAAGGCCUGCGGGUUGUAAAGCACUUUCAGUAGAGAAGAAAAGCCUAGGGAUAAUACCCCUGAGUCUUGACGUAACCUACAGAAGAAGCACCGGCUAACUCCGUG